rnacentral:rRNA from 2 species
GAAGGCUUUCGGGUCGUAAAACUCUGUUGUUAGGGAAGAACAAGUACAAGAGUAACUGCUUGUACCUUGACGGUACCUAACCAGAAAGCCACGGCUAACUACGUGCCAGCAGCCGCGGUAAUACGUAGGUGGCAAGCGUUAUCCGGAAUUAUUGGGCGUAAAGCGCGCGCAGGCGGUUUCUUAAGUCUGAUGUGAAAGCCCACGGCUCAACCGUGGAGGGUCAUUGGAAACUGGGGAACUUGAGUGCAGAAGAGAAAAGCGGAAUUCCACGUGUAGCGGUGAAAUGCGUAGAGAUGUGGAGGAACACCAGUGGCGAAGGCGGCUUUUUGGUCUGUAACUGACGCUGAGGCGCGAAAGCGUGGGGAGCAAACAGGAUUAGAUACCCUGGUAGUCCACGCCGUAAACGAUGAGUGCUAAGUGUUAGAGGGUUUCCGCCCUUUAGUGCUGCAGCUAACGCAUUAAGCACUCCGCCUGGGGAGUACGGUCGCAAGACUGAAACUCAAA